AUGGAACAUAUGGGAGCACUUCAACCAGGAUUACCAUCUCCAACUAUGCUCCCCCAGUCAUGGACAUUAAUAGUAAUAGACUUAAAGGCGUGUUUGUUAAACACUUGCCAGAAUUUGGAAAACUUUGCUAUUGGAAUAAAUUAAGU